rnacentral:rRNA from 1 species
AUUGAACGCUGGCGGCAUGCCUUACACAUGCAAGUCGAACGGCAGCACGGGAGCAAUCCUGGUGGCGAGUGGCGAACGGGUGAGUAAAGCAUCGGAACGUGCCCAGUCGUGGGGGAUAACGUAGCGAAAGCUACGCUAAUACCGCAUACGAUCUGUGGAUGAAAGCGGGGGACCGUAAGGCCUCGCGGGAUUGGAGCGGCCGAUGUCAGAUUAGGUAGUUGGUGGGGUAAAGGCUCACCAAGCCGACGAUCUGUAGCUGGUCUGAGAGGACGACCAGCCACACUGGGACUGAGACACGGCCCAGACUCCUACGGGAGGCAGCAGUGGGGAAUUUUGGACAAUGGGCGCAAGCCUGAUCCAGCAAUGCCGCGUGCAGGAUGAAGGCCUUCGGGUUGUAAACUGCUUUUGUACGGAGCGAAAAGGCUUCCACUAAUACUGGGGGCUCAUGACGGUACCGUAAGAAUAAGCACCGGCUAACUACGUGCCAGCCGCCGCCGUAAGAC